AGCUGCGUGGUGAGCACAAAGCGAACUAUUCUUUCGCCUUUUACUAAAGAAUACCGUGUGCACGCCACAUUAGGCAGCAUACCCUAAUUUUUAAGUGGUCUUUCCUCUUUUGAGGAGGGUC
rnacentral:snRNA from 1 species